rnacentral:rRNA from 1 species
GAACCCACGUACGUUGAAAAGUGCGGGGAUGAGGUGUGGGUAGCGGAGAAAUUCCAAACGAACUUGGAGAUAGCUGGUUCUCUCCGAAAUAGCUUUAGGGCUAGCCUCGGAAUUGAGAAUGAUGGAGGUAGAGCACUGUUUGGACUAGGGGCCCAUCUCGGGUUACCGAAUUCAGAUAAACUCCGAAUGCCAUUCAUUCAUAUCCGGGAGUCAGACUGUGAGUGAUAAGAUCCAUAGUCGAAAGGGAAACAGCCCAGACCACCAGCUAAGGUCCCAAAAUAUAUGUUAAGUGGAAAAGGAUGUGGGGUUGCACAGACAACUAGG